UUAUUUCUAUAUUUUCUCCUUAAUUAUAAGAUAUAUAAUUUUUUACAAUCUAUUCUUAAUUUUGAAAAGAUUAUAACAUUUUAAUAAUUCUCAACUUUUGUCAAAUUUAUCGAGAAACUCAGUAUCUUGUCAACAAACUUUGACUAUCUUCAAGAUCUGGUUUGUCAAAAAAUUUACUGCCUUUUUCAAGAAUUCUGCUGUUUAUUUUGAGAACAUGUCAAGAAACCUACUGCCAUGCUCUAAAUCUCUUGUUCUAUCCAAAAUUCUUCAUUGACGUUUUAAUAAACCCAUUUUCCAAGAAGCGAAAACAAUCUUGUAGCUUCAUAAGAACUUAUAACUUACCAUUUUCAUUUCCUGUCAGCAAGUUCCUUACCUUGAUCGCAAUUUUGUUAACCAUUUUAGUAUUUUAUCAAUAAUUCUUGUGUUCAGGAUAUCUGGUAAUGUGUUCAUGUCAAUUCUGUGAAUCUGUGUGUUAAAUAGCCUAGGGAGCUUCUCUCAAGUGACUAUAGUAUCUUGUCAAUCCCUGAAAAGUAUUGUUGAUUUGAUACUGAUAAUUUAAUCAAGGAUAAGAUAAACAUGAAUUUAUUUGAUUGUAUUUUAUUCACUAAAAAAGCAACAUCUCAUAAUGUAUGUUAAGUGCCUGUCUACAGUUUGAGGGCCGUCUUGAGCAAAUUAAUAUUUAAAUUUUGAAAGGUGGCAAACUGGUAGAAACAUUAGCAUGCCAGGCAAAAUGCUUAGCGGUAUUUCAUCUUUAAGGUGGUGAGCUGGCAGAAACAUUAGCACACCGGGUGAAAUGCUUAGCAGUAUUUCAUCUGCCACUACAUUCUGAGUUCAAAUUCCGCUGAGGUCGACUUUGCCUUUCAUCCUUUCAGGGUCGAUAAAUUAAGUACCAGUUACCCACUGGGGUCAAUAUAAUCGACUUAAUCCAUUUGUCUGCUCUUGUUUGUCCUCUCUGUGUUUAGCCCCUUGUGGGUAACAAAGAAAUAGGUAUUUCGUCUGCCAUUACGUUCUGAGUUCAAAUUCUGCUGAGGUCGACUUUGCCUUUCAUCCUUUCAGGGUCAAUAAAUUAAGUACCAGCCACAUACUGGGGUUGAUCCAAUUGACUGGCUUCCUCACCCAAAAAUUUCAGGCCUUGUGCCUAGAGUAGAAAAGAAUAUAUUUUCAUCCCUUCAGUUAUAAUUCCAUAUGAUCAAAUCAAUCAACUGUGCUUCUGUUGCACUUAUAGAGAAACAGACUUAAUACCUUAUGAAUUAGAUAGCUUAGAAUAUCAAAUUUAAUUAUACUAAUUAUCAAAUUUAUUUAUACUUAAUGAUGAUGAUGCUGCGAGUGUGACAUUAACCCUUUCGUUACUGUAUUUAUUUUGAGAUGCUCUGUGUUUCUUUCAAUUACUUUAAAUAUAACAAAGAAUUUAGUAAAAUAAUUCAGUUAUCAUUAAGCUAUUGUUAGGAACAUAAAUUGUGACUAAGGUUUGGUAGAAGAUUUUAAUUCAAAACUUAUGAAAACAAGACAUUUGUACAACAGAGCCAGAGUCAGUUUCAGCCGGGUUGGUAACGAAAGGGUUAAAAUAGAAAACUAAGAUUUAAAUGACUGCCCUUGAAAAAUGAUAAUUUCAGAUUUCUUUCUGGAAAUGCUUCUGGUUUCAAGACUUUAAAGCAAGCAAUGUUGUGUUUUUCCUGUUUCGGAAUUAGAGAACAUUGGGUUUAUUUUCAAGCAAAAAAAUCUUUUCUUGAAUUUGGAUAGAUCUAGAACAUACAUAUAUCCGUUAGCAUUCAGAACACAUAUAUCUCUGGAACAUUCUCUCAAAUGUCAAAUUUUUUAUUUAUUUACAUUCUUUUGAAUUAAUCAUGGAUUAUCUCAUAGCUUCAAGAUUUUGAUGGAAUUUAUGUUUUUAGCAAGACAUUGUCGGUUAGGUGCAAGAGGUCAGAUCUGGCAGAACAUAAAACAAGCUUGAACCAGCCAGUUUAAAUGCUAAAAGAAUUUAUAUCUAGAUCAUACUUAGUGCUUGAGAGAGUGUUGGGAUAAGGGUUAAAAUUUUAUCUUGCUCAAGAUGACCCCAAACUAUAAGUGGAUACUAUUGGCAUUCAGAUAUCAUGGGAUGUUAUAUUUUCAUUAAAUAAAAUACAAUCAUAUUUCUCUCAUUCUUCAUUAAACUAUCAAUUAUAUAUCAGAAACAUUCUUGAAAUUGGCAACAUAUAGUCACAGACUUCCAUGUUAUAUCAAUCAAAAUACUUUGCUUCCCCCAUUUCUCUCUCUCUCUCUGUCUCUGUGUUAGAGAGGCUCCCUAGGCCCUUGAGCUUAAGAAGUUUCAAUAAAAACCAAGUGUCCCUUAAAUACUAACCUGUUGUCUGAAAUGAGGAAGGAGACAUUAGGUAAUAAUACGCUUACAGACUGCUAAAACAAAGGUGGUAGGGACAGGACUUGAAUGCUUUUGAUCAUCUGUUUAAACAAUAAGGCUCUCCCUCUCUCUCUCCUUCUCCUCUCCCCUCUCUCUCCUCUCUCUCAUUACCUUUUUACUCUAACUCUCUCUCCUCUUCCCCUCAUUACUUUUUUACAUGCCCCCUCACUCUUCUCUCCCCAUUACCUUUUUGUUCUCCCCCUCAUUAUCUUUUUGGUCUCCCCCUCCCGCCUCAUUACUUUUUUGCGCUCCCCCUCAUUAUCUUUCUGCCCCCCUCUUCUCUCCCCCCUCAUUACCUUUUUGCUCUCUCUCCUCUCUCCUUCUCUCCCCCCUCAUUACCUUUUUGCCCCCCCUCUCCCCCCUCUCUCUCUCUCUCUCUCCCUCUCUCUCUAUGUAAUUCUCCUCUCUGAAAUUGUUGCAUUUAUAGGUAUUGGAUAGGCUCAGAGAUGGACAAAAAGCUUUUGGCCUUAAAAGAAUUGUCUGACAGCAAUUUAAAAAUAUCAAACAGACCCAACAGACUAACAAAUUGCAUUUAUAUAAUAACAUUUCUCUGUUGUUGUUUAAACUGGGUAAUAAAUCCAGCUAGAUUUGCUAAUUAUAAAAAUUAAUUUUCAAUUUCCUCUGAAAUCAAAUUAAUAGUCUUUAAGCUCACUUUUAAUGUAAUAUACUAACAUGUAUAACUUGGUUUGAAAUAUCAGUACAUCUUUGCCACAUGUUUUAUGAUCACAUGGAGGUGCACACACACACACACACACACACACAGAUGGAUAUUCCUGAACAGACACACAGAUAUAUACAUGUACACAUGUAUUUCCAUUUCAUUUUAAAUUGUCUGAUCUAUUUUCUUUAUAAAUGGAAAGAAAGGAACUUGCUGUUACAAUUUAUUUUGAUCUAAUUGUAAGCUCUGAAUAAAAAAUUUUAAAAAAAAGGAAAAAAUGUAUCUUCCAUCUCGCAAUUGUCAAAUUUAAUAAGAAAAAUGAAAUGUAUUUUUAUUAGAGAUAAAUCUAUACGAUAACAAUUUGUAAACAAAAGAGGUUCUUUUGUAAACAAAAAUUAUAUUUGUAUUUAUUUUGUUUAUACAACAAACUGAGAUCAUUUCACGUUUCAUAACUUGUCAAUCUUUUAAUCUCUUAACCCUUUAAUUAUGGCAGUUGUCAAUUAGGGAUUUACCAAAAGCAUGCUGAGAGGAAUGGAAGUCGUUAAGAAAUGAUGCUGAUUGUCAUAACAUUUGUUUUUAAUGUAUGAAAAUUCAAUUUUUAAAUAUUAUAAAUUUUUAUAUUACAUUAAUUCAAAUUACUAAUUUUCAUAUUUUUUUAAUUUUGCAACCAAGGUGAUAAUGCCCAAAUAUUAAUUAAUGUACCUAAAAAAAAAAAUAAGCAGUCAAAGGUUUGCAUACAUACAUGUAUGUGUGUGUAUGUAUGUAUGUAUGUGUGUGUGUAUAUAUAUAUAUAUAUAUAAAAAAAAUGGGACAAGAACGCAAAACAUCCAGACAGAUGAUACAAAAAAGGAACAAGAAAAAACAAGGACGGGUCAUUCGGAGUUUUCUUUCCUCAGUCGAGUUCCAGAUUAUCUUUGCAAUUUCAGCUGGUUAUACUCGAGAUUGCUCCAAUCUGGCCAGCCCCAAGGAAAAACUAAGCAAAGUGCACUAGAUUCCUUGGAAGAAAGCAGCGAAUGUAUACAAAAACAAGGAUGGAAAAAAAAUGGAGAAAUGGUACACAAAUACAAAUGCAAAUAACAGGACAUUAACAACAGGUGUCUUUCGACUAAGGACGAAUCAGACCAAUGUUACUGGAAAAAAAUUAUAUUUGUUAAACAUUAUUGGUUGCUCUAUUUCUUUAAACAUUUGAAUACAUUUUAAAGAAUUUACUUUUUAUUUGUGUAAAGAAAAUAAUGCUGAUGCCUGGUUACAAAAUGUUUCAUAUAUAUAUAAAUAUAUAUCUAUUUUCUUUUUUAAGAAUGAAAUCUUUAUAAUUAACCUUUUAGCAUUAAAAUUAGUCUAUCAAAUGUAAUGCUUAUGUAUUCAUGUUGUUUUGAACUAAUCCUACAUCAAUCACACACACACUCACUCAUAUCACUCAUAUGUAAUCAAUCAAAAUUCAGGAAAAGUGAUAGUCAAAGUGUCUUUAUUUAUAUGGAAUAAAUACUUUCCCAUCUCUCACUUCUGAUUUUUAAAUUAUCUUUACACUCCAGUUGCAUUUCUUGGAUUUUCAGGUGCAAAGUAACAUUAACUUGCAUUAUAAACUUAAAAACUUGAAUUUAAUUACUAUGUUACCUGAUAGCCAAACACUAGCUGGAGUGCUUACUGUGAGUUACAUUUGAUUCUCUGAAUCUAUUUUUUUUCAUUUGUGUGUGUGUGUGUGUGUGUAAAUGAAUCUAACAAAAAAAAAAUUUUUGAAUUUGUAGCAAAAAUUCUUCAUAAAAAAAAUGAAUUCAUUGUACAAAAAUUAAUUUAUUUUACAUUUUUACGAAAGUGUGCAUUUGAACUAAGAUAUUUAUGGUACAAAUUUUGUAUUUUGUAAUUUUUAUUAAAAAAGAAUUAUUCCCUCUCCUCUCCACAUACUCCCCUCAGCAAUAUUAGAAUACAAAUUCUUAAAAUUUAGAAUUUGAAAUUUAGAUGUUUUCCGAGCUGUUUUCAUUGUUUUCAAUUUAUUGACAUUAAAAAAAAAAACCUUUUUGAUGAAAUUAAAAUCAUUCAACUUAUAUUUAUUCACUUUUUUAAAAAAAUAUAUAUUCAUGAUUUUAAUAUUAGGCAAGCUGGCAGAGUAGUUAGCACGCCAGGCAAAACGCUUAUUUGUAUGACGUCCAUCUUUAUAUUCUGGGUUCAAAUUCCACCGAAGUCAAUUUUGCCUUUCAUCCUUUUGGGGUCAAUAAAAUAAGGACUAGUUGAGCACUUCCCUUCCCUUCCCUUAAAAUUGUUGGCCUUGUGCCAAAAUUUGAAACCAUUAUUAGGUGUUAACCCCUUGCCUCUCCAAAUUAUUUUCACAAGUGUAUCCUAAAUGCCCAUGCUUUUUUUUUAUAGUUAAUCCUUGUUUUAUACAUUCUGAAUAAUAAAAGCUUUCCUUUCAUAAGUUACUCUGGUGGUUGAAAAAAUGCCGGGAAUGUGUAUCAUAUCUGAUGCCAGGGAAAUAUAUCUUGAGUAUCACAUGCAAUACACAGGACAGGCAAUGGUUAAAUACUAAUCUUCAGAAAUGCUUAAUGGUAUUUCAUCUGCCGUUAUGUUCUGAGUUUAAAUUCCACCGAGGUCGACUUUGCCUUUCAUCUUUUCGGGAUCGAUUAAAUAAGUACCAGUUACACACUGGGGUCGACGUAAUCAACUCAAUCCCUUUGUCUGUACUUGUCUGUCCCUCUGUUUAGCCCCUUGUAGGCAAUAAAGAAAUAAGUGUUAAGUUAAUGAAGACUAGGUCACACGAUACAUUUGCCUUAGAUUACUAACUAGUAAUAUAAAUAAUUUAGGAUAAUACCAUAUUCUAAGCUUUUUUUUGACUCUGUCGGGUUAAAUGAGAAGGAAAGUAAAUUUUUAAAAAGGCCCACAAAAGCAAACCACACCCAAGCAAUAUAAAAAUGCAUAUGAAUAUAAAUAAAUCAUUAUCAUUAAAGAACUGAAUUGCAUCGCAACAAACCUAACAAAAUUGUUUGCAGACAUUAUUCAGUCUUGAAAUUAUAAUUAUUCUGCUCGUUUAACCAAUUAGCGUUCAGGUUAUUCUGUCAAAUGUAAUUCUUAUUUAUUCACAUUGUCUUGAAUUAAUCUUGAAUUAUCUCAGAGCUUUGAGAUUUUGAUGGUGUGGUUGUUUGGUUUUUAGAAUGACAUUGUAAGGUAGGUGCAAGAGGCGAUAUCUGGCUGGUUUGAACAUAAAACAGGUUAAAAAAAUUCAGGUAGGAGAUGGCCAGUUUAAAUGCUAAAGGGUCAAAAUAAUUGGGGAUGUGUAUCAAUUAUGAUGUGUAAACUCCAUAGAAAUAUGUUCUGUGCAUCACAUGUGAUACACAGGCAAAGGGUCGAUAUUGAUGACAGUGGCAGAAAUGUUAAGGGUGCAUGUGGUAGUGGUGGUGUUGAUGCUGGUGUUAAUGAUGUUAGAGUUUAAGGCAGUGAGCUGGCAGAAUCGUUAGCAUGCUGGAUGGGGUGCUUAGUGGUGUUUCACCUAUUGCUAAAUUCUGAGUUCAAAUUCUGUCAAGGUUGACUUUACUUUUCAUUCUUUUGGGGUCGAUAAAAUAAGUACCAGUUGAUCCACUUUGUUUGAAGCAUUUGACUUAGCCCCUCCCCUCAAAUUGCUGACCUUGUUCCAAAAUUUGAAACCAUUAUUGAUGUUAGAGUUUCUUGAAAUCCAAGUAGAAUCUAAUGUUAUGUUGGAAGAACAUUUUUCUUUGAAAAUGGUACAGCCAUGGUUAUGUGGUUAAAAUGUUUGUUUCCAAAUCAAAUGUUUUUAGGUAGAGUCAUGGCUGGAUCAAGAACUUGCUUAAUAAGGAUUGACUUAGCAUGGAAAAACUGGUGUAAAACAGAGUUCUGCCUAAAAUGUUUAACCUUUUAGUAUUUAAACAUGUCAUAUUCAGCCGAAAUAUUCUACCUGUUUAAUGUUCAAACUGACCAGAUCCAGCCUCUCACACCUAUCCUACAAUAUCAUUCAAAAAAUAUAUAAUCACACUAUUAAUCAAAUUUGAUGACUGGCAUCCGUGCUAGCAGGGUGCAAAGAGCAUCAUACGAGUAUGAUUGUUGACAGAGCGGCUAACUGGCUUCUGUGCCAGUGGCACCUAAAAGGCACCAUUCGAGUGUGAUCAUUACCAGCGUCGCCUUACUGGCACUUGAGCCCCGUGCUAGUAGGGUGUUAAGAGCACCAUCCGAGUGUGAUCGUUGCCAGAGCGGCUAACUGGCCUCCAUGCAAAUGGCAUGUGUAAAAGAUUCGAGCAAGGUCGUUGCCAGUACUACCUGACUGGCCCCGUGCCAGUGACACGUAAAAGCACCCACUACACUCUCGGAGUGGUUGGCGUUAGGAAGGGCAUCCAGCUGUAGAAACUCUGCCAGAUCAGAUUGAAGCCUGGUGCAGCCAUCUGGUUCGCCAGCCCUCAGUCAAAUCGUCCAACCCAUGCUAGCAUGGAAAGUGGACGUUAAACGAUGAUGAUGAUGAUGAUGAUCUCAUGAGAUAAUCCAUGAUUAAUUCAAGACAUGGUAAAUAAAUAAACAUUACAUUUGAUAGAGCAGUCUGAUUGUUAAAGAGUUAACCUCACUCCUUUUCAUGGCGUGAGUAAUUGACUGUUUUACUAAUUUUAUUAAUUGUCUUUUACCAACAUAAAUCCUCGUUAAUUUCUGCAGAUUCUUGUAUUUUCCUUAACUUGGUCUACUCUGGUAUAUAAGUGUAAUCAAGCAGUUUAAUUACUUGGUCCAUUAUUUUGUACUUUUAUUUUAUUUCUCAACCAUCCAUCCAUCUCCUCCGCCCACUAUUCCUGAAAGGGUUGCAGGGGUAGGGUCCUCAGGUGCCUUCUCCAUAGGGCCCUAUCAGCAGCAACCAUCAUUACACUUUCCAACUGAAUUACCAAGCAUGACCAGCUGAUACUGUGAUUUAUUAUCAAACCAUCUUGUUAUUGGUCUACCCUUUUGCCUCCUGCUGAUUAACAUGGCUUCAAGAAUUCAUCUUGUGAUUCUUUCUUGCAACAUUCUAAUCACAGGUCCUCAGUUCCAGAGCUGUGACCUCUCAAUGCAGAGAAGUAGUUGCUCACAUAUGCCAGUGGAUCUGGAAGGACACCAAAGUAAUCACAAUCUGAGAUGAGAUGAUAAUCUGAGGUGAUAAUCCUAAAUUUUUUUUUUAAAAACAGGAGACAGGAGAGGUGGCUCUAAUUAUGAGGAAUUGUCGCAUUAAGCAUCCCUAGUAUACAUUAGUGUCUAGAAAAGAGAUGUAGGGGAAUUGUUGAUCCCAAGCUGGAGAACAGUGUGGCUUCCACCUUGGAUGCAGCACAACUGAUCUAUUUUAUUAUUCUUUUAAGGAAAUCAACCAAAAGGAUUACGUAUUUUCACAAGAACAUUCUAAUUUGGGGCAAAACUCCCAAAUUUCAUAUAAUGACUUUUUUAUUAUUCAGAAAGUAAACUUGGCACCCGUGCCAGUGGAGCACUAAAAGCACCAUCCGAGCGUGAUCGCUGCCAGAGCAGCUGACUGGCUUCUGUGCCAGUGGAACAUAAAAAGUACCAUUCAAACAUGAUUGUUACCAGCGUCGCCUUACUGGCACUUGUGCCAGCAGCAUGUGAUAAAAAAAGUUUCAAGCGAGGUCGUUGCCAGUGCCGCUGGACUGGCCCUCAUGCUGGUGACACGUAAAAGCACCCACUACACUCUCGGAGUGGUUGCCAGAUCAGAUUGGAGCCUGGUGCAGCCAUCUGGUUCACCAGUCCUCAGUCAAAUCAUCCAACCCAUGCUAGCAUGGAAAGCGGACGUUAAACAAUGAUGAUGAUGAUGAAUCUUAGUAAGGACAAACUUUUAAUGUCAGUUCAUGACCUGCUACCCACCUUCCACCCAAAGACACACCUUUAUAUGAUCAGGGUGGUAUUCAUUGCAUUUAGUUAUUUUUUUAUAAAUUACGUUUUUUACCUUCUUUGGAUGAAUAAUUAAUUAUAAAAAGAUAUUUUUUCUGAAAACAGCUUUUUUUUUUUGAUAAAAUCAAUUGAAUUGAUAAGUUCAAAGUAAAUAAAAGAAAUCAUAAUCAUUCUCACAGACAUGUAUGCACAUACACACACAAUUCCAUAUUUUCUAUUAUAAUCCCUACUUCCCACAAAACGAAGUCAUCCACCAUGUUAGAAAUAGCAGCCAAAUCUGCCUCAUAUCAGCCUACCAUCUUAAAGAAAUAAAAGGCUAUGUUACUUUGGAUAAGGAUAUAAUUUUGGAUAGACGAGCCUGGAAAAAAAUAUGUAGGAUGGUCACUAUUGGAUUAUCUUUUGAUCAUAAAUCUAUUUGAUGAAGACUGACCUCAGGCUAAAAACCCCACAACAACAGCAACAAUAACAACCUCUGCUCAGCCACUUUAUACUAUAAACAUUGAUUUAUUAAUAGUCUAUGUCCGCUCUAUGUAUCUCCCAACACUACUAUAACAGCCUCUGCUCCUAUAAACUUAUCAAGUAACAACACUUCCAUGCCACCAGUCUCUCCCCCACCACUUCUGUUUUCUUCAAGAACAACAGUUUUUAACCUGGGAGAAAUCGCCACCACCAUAGGGUGGAGGGGUAAAAUUUGGGGGAUUUCAGCAUGGAACCAGAAUCUCACUUUUUUAUGGUCCUGAUUCUCGGUCAACAUAAUUUCACUUCCCUGACCCCUUUGGUUGUCUUUGAGAAAAAUGUGCUCUUUUUUUCACAUCAUUUCUUCCCCUGAAAGAUACUUUGUGCCUAGUCAAAUAUUAUCAGAUUUUUAUGGGAAAAUACCUUGUGGUAUUAUAAUCCUAUCCUUUUAUCUUUUUGCUUUCUUCUUUUACUUGUUUUAGUCAUUAGUUUGUGGCCACACUGGGGCAGCGCCUUGAGAAAUUUUAGUCAAACGAAUUGACCCCAGUAUAUACUUUUUUGAAGCCUGCUGCUUAUUCUAUCGAUCUCUUUUGCCAAACCACUAAGUUACAGGGACGUAAACACACCUACACCGGUUGGUGAGGGACACAUACACACACACAUAUGAUGGGCUUCUUUCAGUUUCCAUCCACUAAAUCUACUCACAAUUCUUUGGUCAGCCCAAGGCUGUUGUAGAAGACACUUACCCAAGGUGCCACACGGUACUGAACCCAGAACCAUGUGGUUGGGAAGCAAGUUUCUUACCACUCAGUUACACCUGCGCCUUUUUACAUUCUGUGUUCAAAUCCUGCCUAGGUCAACUUUGCCUCUCAUCCUUCUGGGCUCGAUAAAAUAAAGUACCAGUACUUGAUGUAACCCACCCAAGUACUGUUUAACCCCUUCCCUCAAAUUUCAUAGUACAUGUGUUUCAGUAGAAUCUUUAGUUCAUCAGACAAAUAUUUAUCCAACUCUUUAUUGUACUGUGUUCAAAUCCUGCCAUGGUAAACUUAGCCUUUGAUUUUUUUUUUAGGCGGGGAGGGGGUUCAAUAAAUUAGGUGCCAGUCAAGUACUGGGGUCAAUGUAAUCAUCUAAUUCCUUUCCUUAAAAUUACAGGCCUUGUGCCAAAAUUUAAAACCAUUAUUAUUAUUAUUAUUGAUGGUGGUUUAAGCAAUAUUAUAUUUAGAUAAUAACACGAAAUAAUUUUAUUAAAAAAUUUUUUAAAAUUAUAAUAUAAAUAAUGAAUACAGAAUUAUUAUUAUUAUUCAAGGCAGUAAGCUGGCAGAAACAUUAGCACGCCGGGUGAAAUGCUUAGCGGUAUUUCAUCUGUCUUUACAUUCUGAGUUCAAAUUCCACAGCAGUUGACUUUGCCUUUUCUUUCGGGGUUGAUAAAUUAAGUACCAGUUACGCACUGAGAUCGAUAUAAUAGACUCAUUCCCUCCCCCCCAAAAUUUCAGGCCUUGUGUCUAUAGUAGAAAAGAUUAUUAUUACUAUUAUUGGUGGUGGUUUAAGCAAUGUCAUCUUCAGAUAAUCACAUGAAAUAGUUUGAAAAAAAAAAAUAGAAAAAAUUAUAAUAUUAAUUAAUAAAAAAUGACUACAGAAUUAUUAUUAUUAUUAUUAUUAUUAUUAUUAUUAUUAUUCAAGGUGGUGAGCUGGCAGAAUCGUUAGCCUGCCAAGCAAAAUAUCUAGCGGCAUUUCGUCCGUCUUUAUGUUCUGGGUUCAAAUUCCACCAAGGUUGACUUCAAUUUUCAUCCUUUCAGGGUGGGAGGGUCAAUGAAUUAAGUACCGGUUAUGUACAGGAGUCAAUGCAAUUGAAUAGAACCCUCCCCCAAAAUUUCAGGCCUUGUGCCUUUAGUAGAAAGGAUUAUUAUUAUUAUUAUUAUUAUUAUUAUUAGUGAAACUAGCAGAAUCAGUGGAGUUAUCAGUAAAAAAUGCCUUACAGUAUUUGUAUUGGUAGUUUACAUUUUAAGUUCAAAUCCCACCAAGGUCAGCUAUGCAUUUCAAUAGAAUACCAGUCAUGUAGUGAGGUUUAUACAAUGAGCUUGCCCCUCCUUUCAACGUUGCUGCCUUGUGCUUAUCGUAGAAAGAAUUAUUAUUAUUAAUUAUCAUUAUUAUUAUUAUCGUCAUUAUUAUUAUCAUUAUUAUUAUUAUUAUUAUUAUUAUUAAUUAUCAUUAUUAUUAUUAUUAUUAUUAUUAUUAUUAAUUAUCAUUAUUAUUAUUAUUAUUAUUAUUAUCAGAUGCUUUAUUGCAGUGAAGUGGGCUUGUAAUCGGUUUGAAUCGCCAGCUGGAAAUGCGUGUCACCUCCCUAAUGGUUAAAUGUAAAAUCCUUUUUGUUGUAAUUGAAUUAUUUGGUAUGAUGAAUUUCCCAGGAGUUAAAAAUCCACAGACAUGUUUCCGUUUUCUUCCAUUUUCCCAAACUGCUUCGUUUUAGUUGCUAAAAAAAUCCCUGGAGGAAACUCUUUGAACGUCACACAUAUUCCCCAUCUUUUUAUAUUUGAUAUUCCAUGUUUCGGUAAGCAACCGCGUAUAUUUAUUUAUGUGUUCUAUGGUGAUAUUGAAAAUAUACGAAUAAAUGAAUAUGUGUGUA
rnacentral:lncRNA from 1 species